AGAACUUAGCAGAGAUGCUUUGGUGCCUUCGGGAACUCUGAGACAGGUGCUGCAUGGCUGUCGUCAGCUCGUGUUGUGAAAUGUUGGGUUAAGUCCCGCAACGAGCGCAACCCUUAUCCUUUGUUGCCAGCGAUUCGGUCGGGAACUCAAAGGAGACUGCCAGUGAUAAACUGGAGGAAGGUGGGGAUGACGUCAAGUCAUCAUGGCCCUUACGAGUAGGGCUACACACGUGCUACAAUGGCAUAUACAAAGAGAAGCGACCUCGCGAGAGCAAGCGGACCUCAUAAAGUAUGUCGUAGUCCGGAUUGGAGUCUGCAACUCGACUCCAUGAAGUCGGAAUCGCUAGUAAUCGUGGAUCAGAAUGCCACGGUGAAUACGUUCCCGGGCCUUGUACACACCGCCCGUCACACCAUGGGAGUGGGUUGCAAAAGAAGUAGGUAGCUUAACCUUCGGGAGGGCGCUUACCACUUUGUGAUUCAUGACUGGGGUGAAGUCGUAACAAGGUAAGCGUACUACA
rnacentral:rRNA from 1 species